rnacentral:rRNA from 1 species
GAUGAACGCUGGCGGCGUGCCUAAUACAUGCAAGUCGAGCGAACAGACGAGGAGCUUGCUCCUCUGACGUUAGCGGCGGACGGGUGAGUAACACGUGGAUAACCUACCUAUAAGACUGGGAUAACUUCGGGAAACCGGAGCUACUACCGGAUAAUAUAUUGAACCGCAUGGUUCAAUAGUGAAAAACGGUUUUGCUGUCACUUAUAGAUGGAUCCGCGCCGCAUUAGCUAGUUGGUAAGGUAACGGCUUACCAAGGCAACGAUGCGUAGCCGACCUGAGAGGGUGAUCGGCCACACUGGAACUGAGACACGGUCCAGACUCCUACGGGAGGCAGCAGUAGGGAAUCUUCCGCAAUGGGCGAAAGCUUGACGGAGCAACGCCGCGUGAGUGAUGAAGGUCUUCGGAUCGUAAAACUCUGUUAUUAGGGAAGAACAAAUGUGUAAGUAACUAUGCACGUCUUGACGGUACCUAAUCAGAAAGCCACGGCUAACUACGUG